ACUGCAUGGUAUAGGCAUUUACGAAUGAGGUCCUUAAGUCUCUCCUAUAUUUCAUGAAACAGUUCUUCAUUCAUUUAAAAAAAACUAGUGAUGGCUUUUCUAAUUU